UACGGAGGGGGCAAGCGUUAUUCGGAAUUAUUGGGCGUAAAGGGCGCGUAGGCGGCUAGAUGCGUCAAAGGUGAAAUCCCUCGGCUCAACUGAGGAACUGCCUUUGAAACUGUCUGGCUUGAGGCCGGGAGAGGGUAGCGGAAUUCCCAGUGUAGCGGUGAAAUGCGUAGAUAUUGGGAGGAACACCAGUGGCGAAGGCGGCUACCUGGACCGGUUCUGACGCUGAGGCGCGAAAGCGUGGGUAGCAAACAGG
rnacentral:rRNA from 1 species